rnacentral:rRNA from 1 species
AUUGAACGCUGGCGGCAGGCCUAACACAUGCAAGUCGAGCGGGGUUUUCGGACCUAGCGGCGGACGGGUGAGUAAUGCGUAGGAAGCUGCCCGAUAGAGGGGGAUACCAGUUGGAAACGACUGUUAAUACCGCAUAAUGUCUACGGACCAAAGUGUGGGACCUUCGGGCCACAUGCUAUCGGAUGCGCCUACGUGGGAUUAGCUAGUUGGUGAGGUAAUGGCUCACCAAGGCGACGGUCUCUAGCUGGUUUGAGAGGAUGAUCAGCCACACUGGAACUGAGACACGGUCCAGACUCCUACGGGAGGCAGCAGUGGGUAAUAUUGGACAAUGGGCGCAAGCCUGAUCCAGCCAUGCCGCGUGUGUGAAGAAGGCCUUCGGGUUGUAAAGCACUUUCAGCGAGGAGGAAGGGGUGUGUGUUAAUAGUACACACCUUUGACGUUACUCGCAGAAGAAGCACCGGCUAACUCUGUGCCAGCCGCCGCGGUAAUAC